UACAGAGGUCCCGAGCGUUGUUCGGAUUCACUGGGCGUAAAGGGUGCGUAGGUGGUGAGGUAAGUCGGAUGUGAAAGCUCGGAGCUCAACUCCGAAAUGGCAUUGGAAACUACCUUGCUCGAGGGUUGGAGGGGGGACUGGAAUGCUUGGUGUAGCAGUGAAAUGCGUAGAUAUCAAGCGGACACCAGUGGCGAAGGCGACUCACUGGGCUCCACCUGACGCUGAGGCGCGAAAGCGUGGGGAGCGAACCGG
rnacentral:rRNA from 1 species